UUCUGCUUCGCGGUAUAAACAGGCAGGGCGGAACCUUGCCUCCAGACGUCGUGUUUCCGAGGGGAAGCCUUGAGCCAGCGCGCAGGGGAAUCUCCUUUUCUGUCCUCCUUGAGCUUCCCUCGCUCGCUUGCUGCCUCCGUGGGUUUCGUGCUCUCCUUCUCCGGGCCGCCAUGGUGGGCAAAGUGCGAAGGCGGCCAAGGCUGCACCCGGCGGCGCCGAAGCCAGCACCGCAGCCUCAGGGGGGCGAGGGCCUCGCGGUAAACGCCUUCCCCUUCGCCGCCCCCCAAAGCAAGCCGGUGAAGGCAGCCCGGGACCCUGUUUUGUUGACCUCAGACAUCUUUGCUGGGGUGAAAAUAGACCCAAAAUCUCUAGUGAAGAAGUUGGACACACAUUCAAGAAGCACUGUUUCAACCAUAAAAGGUAAGAAUUGAGAAAUCUACAGGUUCAUUUUGCAAGAGGUGUGGAUGUGAGAACUUGCAUGCUAUAUUUUCCU
rnacentral:lncRNA from 11 species